AGGAGUGUGACAGACUGUGCAGCA
rnacentral:siRNA from 1 species